rnacentral:rRNA from 1 species
GGCGGCGGCCUGGACCUCAUCAGCGCCCUCCCCGACGACCUGCUCCUCCUCGUCCUCGCCCGCCUCCCCUGCACCGGCGCCGCCGCGCACACCGGGGUCCUCUCCCGCCGGUGGCGCGACCUCUGGCCCCAUCUUCGCCGGAUCAUCUUCCGUGGUAUCCCAUUCGACUCGAUCGAACCGGCGCUCGACCGCGUUUCUCCCGUGGUUUCCCUCCUGGAAAUCCACGCCCGCGCGUCAACUCGCCGCUGGUCGACUGACCGGGUCGACACUGCCCGCGUGAACUCACUGCUGCGCGCCGCCGCAAGGGUGGAGCCGGAGGAGCUCAUCUUCAGUCUCUCGUCGGCCUUCAUCUGCGAUUCCCCAGUCGUCGAUCUGCCCUGCUUCAACCGGGCCACUUCCAUCCAGCUCUGCCUUUUGUCCGCCAUACGCGUGCCGGCCGGCGUCGAGUUUCCGGCGCUGGAGACGCUGUACCUGGCGUGCCGCAUUGACGCCCUCGACCCCAUGCUCUCCAGCUGCCCGCGCCUGCGCACGCUCUAUCUCAGCAGCACUGAGUUGAAGGGAGACUACCUGAGGGUCAACUCGGCGUCGUUACUAGAGCUUGUCGUGGACAGCAGAUUGACACGCAAUGUCAACAUUAUUGCCCCCCUGCUUAAGCAGUUGACCAUGUCCUUCAACGCCUCGAAGCUCAGCAGCACCUCCAUCUUGGCAUCAAUGAUGGAGAAGGUAUCUUGGAAAUGCUGCUAUAUGAAUGGGGGGCGAUUUUUUGCCCCUCCUGAGAGGCCAACGGCUGAAGAUGCCCUUACAUAUGGUCUUUGGCUACUUGAGCAGGUGACGCUACAGACGGCAGAGAGACAAGGACAGCUCCCCUCGCUGCAUGUUCGUGCCCACUGCGACUUUUCUGUUUAUCAGGAUGAGGCAGAUAACUUUAAGCAGGAGAUAGAGAAGCAUUUGGUUGCUGCCUUCUCUGUUUUGGAACUAAAUCUCACGACAGAGGGGCAUGUUUUUGGGUCAUUGGUAUUUGAGCUCUUUGGGAUAGAUCGAAUUCGUACUGAUGUGUGGAGGCUUAAGGUUGUCCUAUCAAGAAAGAUCGAGGAAGGAUGCCUACCAGAUUAUUGUCCUUGCGAGGCCACAGAUUGGAGAUCCCAAACUAUCUCCUUGACUGCUCUCGAAGAAGUGGAGAUCAAUGGCUUCGAAGGAGAGGAUCAUGACUUUGAUUUUUUGAAACUGAUAGUCAGAUGUGCCCCAUUGCUUAAUAGAAUGAUUGUGAAGUUUUCACGCGAGGCCUCCACAAAUAAUGAUGUGUGCGCAAAGAUAUACAACAUGUUCGGGGCGUAUUCUUCGGUGGAA